GGGAAACCAAUUGAAGGGCCAGCCCCAGGCCCCGACAACGAUUGGGGCA
rfam:Ovis aries breed Texel chromosome 11, whole genome shotgun sequence.